rnacentral:rRNA from 1 species
AAUGGAGGCAACUCUGAUCCAGCCAUGCCGCGUGAAGGAAGACGGCCUAUGGGUUGUAAACUUCUUUUAUACAGGAAGAACCUUUCCACGUGUGGAAAGCUGACGGUACUGUAAGAAUAAGGAUCGGCUAACUCCGUGCCAGCAGCCGCGGUAAUACGGAGGAUCCAAGCGUUAUCCGGAAUUAUUGGGUUUAAAGGGUCCGCAGGCUGUUUGUUAAGUCAGAGGUGAAAUCCUACCGCUCAACGGUAGAACUGCCUUUGAUACUGGCAAACUUGAGUUAUUGUGAAGUAGUUAGAAUGUGUAGUGUAGCGGUGAAAUGCAUAAAUAUUACACAGAAUACCGAUUGCGAAAGCAGAUUACUAACAAUAUACUGACGCUGAGGGACGAAAGCGUGGGUAGCGAACAGGAUU